CAGCUAGUUGGUGGGGUAAUGGCCUACCAAGGCGACAAUCCGUAGCUGGUCUGAGAGGACGACCAGCCACACCGGAACUGAGACACGGUCCGGACUCCUACGGGAGGCAGCAGUGGGGAAUAUUGGACAAUGGGGGAAACCCUGAUCCAGCGACGCCGCGUGUGUGAAGAAGGCCUGCGGGUUGUAAAGCACUUUUAGUGGGGACAAAAAGCUACGGAUUAAUACUCUGUGGUCUUGAUUUAACCCAAAGAAAAAGCACCGGCUAACUCUGUGCCAGCAGCCGCGGUAAUACAGAGGGUGCGAGCGUUAAUCGGAAUUACUGGGCGUAAAGCGCGCGUAGACGGUUUUGUAAGUCAGAUGUGAAAUCCCUGGGCUCAACCUGGGAACUGCAUUUGAGACUGCAUGGCUAGAGUAUGGAAGAGGGAAGUGGAAUUUCCGGUGUAGCGGUGAAAUGCGUAGAUAUCGGAAGGAACACCAGUGGCGAAAGCGACUUCCUGGUCCAAUACUGACGUUCAUGUGCGAAAGCGUGGGGAGCAAACAGGAUUAGAUACCCUGGUAGUCCACGCCAUAAACGAUGACAACUAGAUGUUGGGAGGGUCUGCCUCUCGGUGUCGCAGCUAACGCGUUAAGUUGUCCG
rnacentral:rRNA from 1 species